CCAAUCCCAAAACGCAACCGAUAGCCUCUUUCCUCACAGAUCUAAAAGACUUCCCCUCCCUCGUUCAUACAUACAUAAGAGAGAAACGAAAAGAGAGCCAAAUCACUCUCCCUUCCUUCCUUUAUAUAUAAACAACAACCCAUUUUACAAAUCUUUUUCCCUCCCCCAAUCCUCUCAGAUCUGUAUAUAAAAGCCUCACCAUCUCUGCAAAAUCUCAUCUGCACGAAACCCUAGAUUUCGUGUCCGAAUCUCUAAAAGGCAAAUGACAGAUCAAGGAUUGGAAGGGAGUAAUCCAGUGGACCUAGUCGAGCAUCCUUCUGGGAUCGUUCCCACCCUACAAAACAUUGUCUCAACGGUGAACUUGGACUGCAAACUAGAUCUCAAAGCCAUAGCUCUCCAAGCUCGUAAUGCUGAAUACAAUCCCAAGCGUUUUGCUGCUGUGAUCAUGCGGAUUAGAGAGCCCAAGACCACUGCAUUAAUUUUUGCCUCUGGUAAAAUGGUCUGUACUGGAGCCAAGAGUGAAUACUUUUCAAAGAUGGCUGCAAGAAAGUAUGCUCGGAUUGUCCAAAAGCUUGGGUUUCCUGCAAAGUUCAAGGAUUUCAAGAUUCAGAAUAUAGUAGGUUCUUGUGAUGUCAAGUUCCCUAUCAGACUUGAAGGUCUUGCAUACUCUCACGCCGCUUUCUCUAGUUACGAGCCUGAGUUGUUUCCGGGGCUGAUCUACAGGAUGAAAGUGCCUAAGAUUGUCCUACUAAUUUUUGUGUCUGGCAAGAUAGUCAUCACUGGAGCCAAGCUCCUCUGAUAAAAAAAAUCCUGAGCUCCAUUCACUACUAGAUGAGAGAGGAGACCUAUAAAGCCUUUGAGAAUAUAUACCCGGUCCUCACGGAGUUCAGGAAGAUCCAACAAUAAGUCGCAGGUUUGUUCGUUGUGGUUCUUUUAGCACCUUGGAGCUGCUUAACUUGCUGAGAAUUUUGUCCUUGAACAAAGGGCUCUCGAAGUUGCCAGAUUCUUCUUACUUUUGUAUUACUGUUUAAGAUUCUAAUAGAACAUUUGUAAAUACUCAAAUGGAGACAAAUUUUCUGUUGUUUUUCUC